rnacentral:tRNA from 1 species
GUGCCCGUAGCUCAAUUGGAUAGAGCGCUGCCCUCCGAAGGCAGAGGUUGAAGGUUCGAGUCCUUCCGGGCACG